CUGAUACAGAGACCUCAUCUUUACAGAUAAUGGAUUAACACAAAAGGAAAUGUCGCCUUCAUUGUCCUGGAUGCUUCAUGGUUUUGUGGAGCUAAACCAGCCAAACAUGCAUGGGAUAGUUGGAUUUGGAAGACAGUUAUUUCCUAAUUUGAAGAGAGAAGGAUGACCAGGGAAAUGUGCUAUACAGAUAACACCAGAGAAGGCAUCACAAAGAAUAUGGAAGAGUUGAAGCUCUCUGAAAAAUACGAUUUUAGUCCUAUGAGUUACGUACUAUAUUAUCAUCAUUUCAAUUUUAUGGACAAGGAUAUGAAGUCACAGAAAGGUAAAGUGAAUCGCCCCAAGAAUCCCACAGCUGGUGAGUAGUUUGCUUCCCUCAUCUGUGCUUGUCUUGCUUUUAAGAGGAUUACAGGAGAUAAUGCUUGUGUGAUGCUUUCCAUAAUUUACCAAAUAUGCACUUGGAAAAAAGUCAUAUUAUUGGUUAAUAUGGAAGUAAAAUCUUCUACAUCAGAUGAGCUUCUAUCACUGUUCAUUAACCAUUUUACUGAAAGAGACCAUUAGCUCUGGGCCCUUUAUUUGCCAAUUUAAUUGUCUUGGACUACCUGUCUAGAAAAACCACAAACCAAACACAUUCACAAAGACAUGUAUCAUUAAGCCUGGCCAAACCUACACGAUCCAAAGAACCAGGUAACUGCCAAUGGGUACUUUGCCUUGUAUCAGUACUGUUGCUAAUGUAAUUUGGGAACUGCUUAUGAACAAGUAUGCUGAAAGAGCCAAUAAGGAUUUACAAGUAAGCUGUGCUAUUUCUACCUCCUUUCUUUUUUGUAAAUUCUAAAGAACACAUUUUAUUCUUUGGGAAAUGUUUAAGUAAAUCCUGUUAGGAUUAAAUCAUGUUGUAAAUUCAGUGGGGACACCUGGGUGGCUCAAUCUGUUAAGCAUCUCACUAUUUCAGCUCAGGUCAUGA